GGGGAGUACGGCCGCAAGGUUAAAACUCAAAUGAAUUGACGGGGGCCCGCACAAGCGGUGGAGCAUGUGGUUUAAUUCGAUGCAACGCGAAGAACCUUACCUACUCUUGACAUCCAGAGAACUUAGCAGAGAUGCUUUGGUGCCUUCGGGAACUCUGAGACAGGUGCUGCAUGGCUGUCGUCAGCUCGUGUUGUGAAAUGUUGGGUUAAGUCCCGCAACGAGCGCAACCCUUAUCCUUUGUUGCCAGCGGUCCGGCCGGGAACUCAAAGGAGACUGCCAGUGAUAAACUGGAGGAAGGUGGGGAUGACGUCAAGUCAUCAUGGCCCUUACGAGUAGGGCUACACACGUGCUACAAUGGCGCAUACAAAGAGAAGCGACCUCGCGAGAGCAAGCGGACCUCAUAAAGUGCGUCGUAGUCCGGAUUGGAGUCUGCAACUCGACUCCAUGAAGUCGGAAUCGCUAGUAAUCGUAGAUCAGAAUGCUACGGUGAAUACGUUCCCGGGCCUUGUACACACCGCCCGUCACACCAUGGGAGUGGGUUGCAAAAGAAGUAGGUAGCUUAACCUUCGGGAGGGCGCUUACCACUUUGUGAUUCAUGACUGGGGUGAAGUCGUAACAAGGUAACCGUAGGGGAACCUGCGGUUG
rnacentral:rRNA from 1 species